CAUGUCUGUGCCCCUGGCGGACUGUCCUGGACAUCUGUGACCAGAGACUUGCCCGACCCAAAGCAUGCUUUGGCUGUGCUAGGCUGCCAACAGACAUCACCCCUGCCACU